UGCUGCCUGGUGUGGGCUGUGUUCAUGACCUCCAUGAUGCGCUCCCGUGCCACUGAUGAGAAAUCCUGCCUGUUGCCUUGUCGUUCAAGAGCCAGAAAAUGGGAGAAUACACCAUCUACCCAACGUGCGUCAUGCACAGAAACAUCUGGGAAAGUUUAGUGCAUGCGUGACCAAAACAUGUUGAGGACCAAGCAGAGGGCAGAUAUAUGGACACAGCGUUGGUGAAACAGGACAAAUUUGAAGCGUCAACUACAGAAUCAAGUGUCAUGCGCUGGAGAUUCCCAGCAGUGAAGCAACAAAACAAUAAGACGAUGAAGCUGGCACUUCAUCAGAUUUAAACCACAGACAAAACCUACAAGAUGUUACACAGGGAAGAAGUCACAUUAAGAUGCUGCUUAGAAUUUUUUACCAAAACCACUAAGCUGAAUUGGAUGCUCUGCAGCAAACACUAAGAGGGGACUUCCCUGUUGUUUGUGUGAGAAGUGUCCAUUUAAAACACAACUCUCUUAUCUUCUUGUUGCUUAAGCCAUAUAUUUAUCGUUUACAAGAGUGCAAAUUCCAAGCCUUAUCGUUCCUCCUAUUAUAUUUAUAGUAUGUGAGGCUGAGGUAGAGCUGUGGUUCCUCCUUACAAUUUUAUGGAAGCGGUUUAUGACAGUGUGAUUGGAGAUGAGUGGAAAAACGGUGGAAAGAUAUUCACUUUCACCAUUUACUGGCUCAGGCCCAGUGGGAAAUAUUUUAAUAUAAUACCAAGCUCCAACUAGAUGAGUUUAAGAAUACACAUGGCUGCAUCUCUGUAGAUGAACAAACUACUACACUUACCAAAAACCUUUGUUUUCAGUUACUCAAAGAGUAUUGUUUAUACGUUUUGGGAAAUCUUGUGUACAACAUAUUAAUAGCAAAUGUAUAGUAUUCAAAAGAAAAGACCAAAACCAACACCAGACCAAAAUAAAUCCUACAUCAUCCACUGGGCUGACGUUGAUUCACGUGACGAGUCUGCCGUAUAAAAGAACCAUUUGUAGUAAACCUGUCAACCACUGUUGCAUAACAACUAGAAUGUCAUGUGCUUCUGGUGGAGUCCCCUGAAGGUGAGCUGCUGUUUGCGAUAUACAGCGGCUACAAAAGUUUCAAACGUGUGCCAAUGUUGAUGACAAAUCAAACGUGACUAACGUUAACGUGUUAUGGGCUUCUGUGUAUGUGAGGACACGUUAAAACACGCCAACAGACGUUAAGUUAAUGGCGAACUUCGCUGAAGCAAAAGUAUCUGUGAGAAAGGCUGCGUCCGAUAAUGGGUGUCUUAGCAUGUGUAGCUAAUGCUCGGUGGUGAGGGUAGAGCAAAAAAGAAGAUAAAUGAACUCGUGUCUGAGCGUCCGUGGGAGAUAUGUGACUCUUACCCUCCUCGCCUGUCCCUUGCACGGAAGAGCCGGUCAGAUAUUCGGGUUAAAACCCCAGCGACGGCCGGAAAGUAUACGGAGUUUACUAGCCUCCUCCAGGUCAAGGGAGGCGCCAUUGCUGCUGCUCUGACGUUUUGAAUGAACUUUAUUGACAAUACAAACACAGAAGCAGUCAGCACCACUGGCUGAACCACCGAGAUCUGAUGUACACACCUUGUACACCUGUGAAGAAUAAUAAUUAACGAUGACAACAAUGCAACAAAAAGAAAACCCAGCAAUGUGGAAAAUUCUUCAUCUUUUAAAGUCAACAGUAAGUCCAGCUGACAGUAAAAGUCAUUGAUGAUGCCAUGUUGCCGGGCUACUACUAGUGAUACAAAGUGAUUCUUCAGGUAAUUGUUAUUCCAUUGCUUUACUGCACCACUUCUAUAAUAUCUGCAUGAUGAAUUUCUAUGUUACGAAUUAGAUGUAUUUACAGUAUCUUGUCACCUUUCCUUCCUCCCUCUUUACUGAAACUUACUUUUCCAAACAAACCCCCCUGUGGUUCUCAGUUUAGUAAUAAUAAUGUAACUGCACCAUAAACAUACACAGUGUUUGGACAGUAUAAGUGAAAUCCCUACUAAUCUCCAGAUAUAUUUCAACCUAUAGAUGAGAUGUGUCUGGUGACACAUUCGGUCUUGUUUUAAUGAUUAUUCUUAUCAUGUUUUAUGUUCUAUACAUUCCAAAGUCAGAGCAACAAUUUGUACUUUAGAGAGAUUGUGCAAUUACGCUGACAGACUUAUGGGAAGUGAGGUUAUUUCUGCCAGUAAAGCCUUCUAAAUGUUGCACUCUGCACCUUUUAACUAUGAACAGCAAUAAUUCAGCUUUCACAAGAAAGUGACCUCAAAGUCUUAUCUUGGACAGGCAGCUGCUGCUGACCUGCCACCUCUGUCUGGGCCAUAUAUCUGCUGUAUUUUGUGCCCUCCAUGCAGCAUGGCCCAUAAACACUCCUCAUAAUUUCACUUCAGUGAAUACAGGUUUUUUUUAUAUUGUCCCACAUGACGAGCUGCUUUUAAACUUUUUCACCUUGUCGAGAAAAGGGAAGCCGCCAGUACCAGGAAACAGCAAAGAUCGCGCUGAUUAUUUAUUGGCACUCUUCCAAGAAAAGAGGCGCGGGCACGUGUUUCGAAGGAGGGGGGUGAGUAGAUGCGCGUGCAUGCGUCUGCUUACCGGAAGAAGCGGCUGAACGGAGAAGGCGGGGCCUUACGGCUUUACUCACUGGAAACAACCUCCAGUAACCUUCCUCCAUACACACACAUACACACUCACAGGCAAACACACACACACACACACAGGGACCGACCGUGGUAGUCCUCCCGCAAGAGAGACACCACCACCACCACAUUCCUCCGCUCAGGACAGAACCCCACACUCACACACUCUCUUUGGAUAUUUGUCUUUGCAUUUUAAUGCCUGAGUUAACCGUCCAUCUAGCACUACUUUCGGGUAGUUUGCAGAUUUUCUCUCUCGGCGACGUGGGGUUGCGGUGCUGGGUUCCACAUAUCCGCAAGCUGUGUUUAGGUGCUCUCUCCCAGCCCCUCUCUGGAUGCAUCAGACUCUUCUGCCCCGGGGCCCUGGACCCGGUGUGGGGCCCAGCCACCCCCACCCC